rnacentral:rRNA from 1 species
GGUCGAGUCGGCCUGCGCGGAAGAUGUAACGGGGCUAAACCAUGCACCGAAGCUGCGGCAGCGAACGUAUCACCCAAGACAACUUUACGGAGUUGACGAUUGACGGAGCGAAGCGACGUCAAAGCGUUCAUUAAAGUCGAGUUGGCUUAGGGAUACGUUCGUUGGGUAGGGGAGCGUUCUGUAAGCCUGUGAAGGUGUGUCGUGAGGCAUGCUGGAGGUAUCAGAAGUGCGAAUGCUGACAUAAGUAACGAUAAAGCGGGUGAAAAGCCCGCUCGCCGGAAGACCAAGGGUUCCUGUCCAACGUUAAUCGGGGCAGGGUGAGUCGACCCCUAAGGCGAGGCCGAAAGGCGUAGUCGAUGGGAAACGGGUUAAUAUUCCCGUACUUGGUGUUACUGCGAAGGGGGGACGGAGAAGGCUAUGUUGGCCGGGCGACGGUUGUCCCGGUUUAAGCGUGUAGGUGUGUGUUCCAGGUAAAUCCGGUUCACUUUAACACUGAGGCGUGACGACGAGGCACUACGGUGCUGAAGCAACAAAUGCCCUGCUUCCAGGAAAAGCCUCUAAGCAUCAGGUAACACGAAAUCGUACCCCAAACCGACACAGGUGGUCAGGUAGAGAAUACCAAGGCGCUUGAGAGAACUCGGGUGAAGGAACUAGGCAAAAUGGUGCCGUAACUUCGGGAGAAGGCACGCUGACACGUAGGUGAAGUGAUUUACUCAUGGAGCUGAAGUCAGUCGAAGAUACCAGCUGGCUGCAACUGUUUAUUAAAAACACAGCACUGUGCAAACACGAAAGUGGACGUAUACGGUGUGACGCCUGCCCGGUGCCGGAAGGUUAAUUGAUGGGGUCAGCGUAAGCGAAGCUCCUGAUCGAAGCCCCGGUAAACGGCGGCCGUAACUAUAACGGUCCUAAGGUAGCGAAAUUCCUUGUCGGGUAAGUUCCGACCUGCACGAAUGGCGUAAUGAUGGCCAGGCUGUCUCCACCCGAGACUCAGUGAAAUUGAACUCGCUGUGAAGAUGCAGUGUACCCGCGGCAAGACGGAAAGACCCCGUGAACCUUUACUAUAGCUUGACACUGAACAUUGAGCCUUGAUGUGUAGGAUAGGUGGGAGGCUUUGAAGUGUGGACGCCAGUCUGCAUGGAGCCGACCUUGAAAUACCACCCUUUAAUGUUUGAUGUUCUAACGUGGACCCGUAAUCCGGGUUGCGGACAGUGUCUGGUGGGUAGUUUGACUGGGGCGGUCUCCUCCUAAAGAGUAACGGAGGAGCACGAAGGUUGGCUAAUCCUGGUCGGACAUCAGGAGGUUAGUGCAAUGGCAUAAGCCAGCUUGACUGCGAGCGUGACGGCGCGAGCAGGUGCGAAAGCAGGUCAUAGUGAUCCGGUGGUUCUGAAUGGAAGGGCCAUCGCUCAACGGAUAAAAGGUACUCCGGGGAUAACAGGCUGAUACCGCCCAAGAGUUCAUAUCGACGGCGGUGUUUGGCACCUCGAUGUCGGCUCAUCACAUCCUGGGGCUGAAGUAGGUCCCAAGGGUAUGGCUGUUCGCCAUUUAAAGUGGUACGCGAGCUGGGUUUAGAACGUCGUGAGACAGUUCGGUCCCUAUCUGCCGUGGGCGCUGGAGAACUGAGGGGGGCUGCUCCUAGUACGAGAGGACCGGAGUGGACGCAUCACUGGUGUUCGGGUUGUCAUGCCAAUGGCACUGCCCGGUAGCUAAAUGCGGAAGAGAUAAGUGCUGAAAGCAUCUAAGCACGAAACUUGCCCCGAGAUGAGUUCUCCCUGAGACUUAGAGUCUCCUGAAGGAACGUUGAAGACGACGACGUUGAUAGGCCGGGUGUGUAAGCGCAGCGAUGCGUUGAGCUAACCGGUACUAAUGAACCGUGAGGCUUAACCUU